rnacentral:lncRNA from 1 species
GACAAUCAAUAUUUGACAUUUCUCUCAAGCAUAGGUAAGGGGGAUACAAGUUGCGAGGCCAUGGAUGAAUAGUAAAGUCUUUCUGACAGGAGGAUUGCUUCUAAUCAUAUUUGUUAGAUUGUUUGGCUAUUGGAUUGUUGUUUGGUAAUGGGGGUAAAUUCAUAUGUAUGCAUCAUUUUGCAUAUAGAUGGACCUGCCCUUGGUAUUGACCUAAUCGCUACUGUGGGAGAGGUCAUUCAAGACGCCUAUGAAGAGCUCUUACAUGCAUUUGUAUUACAACUUGAAUCAAGUUGUCGGAUAUUGAGGGCGGUGGCACUAGCUCAUUGGUUGGGCAUUAUGAUGUGCAUGAUAUUCAAUUACCUGAAUUUUAUAGCUCUUAUGAAUUGUUAGAGUGUUGUGAACUUGAUACUGAUAAAAGAUACAAACAGAAAUCCAGAAAUUAGAUAUGUUAUUAAUCACCUGAAUACGCAAAUGAAAUACUACUUAGCCAGAAAUGAGAGGGAAAAUAGCAAAGUUGAAGAUGUCAUAUGCAAGAUGGGGUAUGAGAUUCCCGAAGAGGGUAAAUUGUUGAUUUAUGACUCGAAGCCAUUAACAAUGAAAUUUAAAAGCAAGUUUAGAGAUGAUUUCAUGGAGCUAGGGGUGAAGUCUGUGCAGUACAUAUUCCAUCUACCACAAAAAAUCUUAUAUUUGCUAGUUUAGACCCUAAGGACACUCUUUAAUUUGUUUCAUUCCCGGGUGUUUGUUUCUACUUUCUUUGUUCAUAAUCAUUCCCCUAGAUGUGACAAUCACACUACACGCACUACAAAAUGUAUAUUUCUUAGGUACUCUUGCAUUUUGCAGGGACACCGAGUAUUCGGUGACCGGGAGUUGGUCAUUUUGCAUACAGAUGGACCUGCCCUUGGUAUUGACCUAAUCGCUACUGUGGGAGAGGUCAUUCAAGACGCCUAUGAAGAGCUCUUACAUGCAUUUGUAUUACAACUUGAAUCAAGUUGUCGGAUAUUGAGGGCGGAGGCACUAGCUCAUUGGUUGGGCAUUAUGACAUGCGUGAUAUUCAAUUACCUGAAUGUUAUAACUUUUAUGAAUUUUUAGAGUGUUGUGAAUUUGAUACCGAUAAGAGAUACGAAUAGAAAUCCAUAAAUUGGAUAUGUUAUUAAUC